rnacentral:lncRNA from 1 species
GCUUUUAAAGCUGGGCCUUGGUGGGACUCUAAAUGCAGUGAAAGCAGUCUGUGUUGAGAGAUUGAAAUGCAUUUCAAAGCCAGGCCUGAGUCAGGGUACAGGGAAGAAAAAACCUAUGUGCAUUUUAUAAGAAGAAAAACCUGAAUGGGAAGGGGAAAAGAGAGAGAGGAAAAAAUCUGGAUAAUACAUUAAUCAUUAUUUUGGAAAUUGUCUUCCUUCCUGACACAUACUGCGUAACUAGUGAUUGAGAACUUGGAUUUUUGUUCUAUUAUAGGCAUCUCAACAUUUGUCUGUGCUGCUUUAAAGUUUGAGAGGCAAGGAUCCUUGAACACUGCUGGACUAUGUUUUAAAUGUGUAUAUAUAUUUUUUCAACUUUGCUUUUUGUGGUUCUUUUUCCUUUUUUUUUUUAACCAUGCCUGUGAAGUAUUAUGAGGAAAAAUACUUGCAGGAAAGCUGAAUUUAUUCUUUUUGGCAUGCUAAUAUUUAUUUUUAUUGUUUUUCUGCUUACCAGAUUUCCUAGGGGUAAUUAUUUCCCACUGACUCAGACCACAGGACAGUGUGAGCACGUAACAAAUAGUGUGAGUCUGAUAUGGAGAAUAUGCCAAGUCAACUGGAUGAGUCAGCACAGGCAGCACAAUGGACUGCAGUUAAGAGCUAGGGCUAGGACUUGGAGGAUGUGUAGGCAAAACGGAAAGAGAGCCGGGGGAAGAAAAACCGAAAUGGAUUCAUUCUCUGUCCUGGAUGGAGGAGGAGAGGAGAAGAGAAGAGAAGGGGACGUGCGAGCUUCCUUCAACUGCCUCUGUCCGGUGAAAAGUGCUCAGACCCCCGGGGCUGCGCCGGACUCCGGAGUCCGCGCGGACUUUCGCGCUGAGCUGCCAAUCAAACCGCUCACAGCCACCACCCUGCUCUGGCACCGACAUGGUCUGUGUGAUCUCCUCCAGGAGAGGCGACUCAGCAGCUCGGUCCCCUCUGCCAUCUCAGCACUGCCAGGGGAGCAGCCCAGGAGGAGCAGAGCAGUGGCUGAGCAGCAAUUUGAAUAUCCAUAUUUAACUCUUCAAACAACAGAAGAUACUUCAGAACCAUGUUAAGAAGGAUAAGCUUGGAGUGCCCAGUCACCGUGGUAACUGCCAGAAAAAUUCUCCUGAAGUUUGAAGAGCAGCCUGAUGAUGCAGGGCGAGGAGUGCCCAGCGACCUUUGUGUGCUCAAGGCACAGCUUUAUCCUGGCCUUCCGUGGGACAGUGCACAUGGAAAUGUGUGAUCUAUUCCUUCCUGAGCUCCAGUCAUGCCUUGCUUUGCAGUUCCUCUCGCUGGUUCUCAUAUCCUGGCAAGAUGCUACAAACCCCACAUGACAAAGAUUAGAAGGAAAUACUUAUUUGAAGAAAUCUCUGUCAUUAGCUGUGCUGAGGUAAUUCAAGAGGAAAAAAAGCUAUAAAAGGAAACAGCAAAUUUGAGCAUCGGUGUGCACACCGCUGUGUGUCCUGGUACCUCUGCUGGGACACUGGCUCUCAGGAGGAGUUUCAGUGACAGGUGAACACGCAACUUUCAGUUGCAUCCACACACGGCGUGUUUGCUCCCGCAGCUCUGCCAGGGCUGAGGAGGGAGGGCAGCUCCGGGUGCUGGAAUUGCCGAGCUCCAGCCCAUCCCCCGGCCUCUGUGAAACUGCACAAAGCCUCCCCUAAACGUGAAUUUAAAACGCUUUCAAAUUGACAACCUCCUUUUAAAUAAAAACAUUUAUGUUAAGCGAAAGGCAUGUUUGCCUCUACAAAUAAAUGGAAUUAUGGUUCUAAGACCUGACUUAAUCCUGAAGUUCUUAGACUGCACAGUAAGUAGAAAAGAAAGAGCAUUGUUUGGAGGAGCAGGGGUUAGCAGGAUCAGGCUCCAUCUUACAUCUUCCUCCUCAUUUUCCUUCUGGCAUUUCAUACACCUUUCUCAGAACUACCACUGGCUGUUUAUAACAAAGUCAAAGUAACUUCAUGUCUGUUACCUAAUUGAAAAUAAUUGAGGGAUGGUACACAGUGUGCCCAUCCAGCAUUCCUGCUGGAAAAAUCUGAGGAUUGCUAAACAAACAAAAAAUGCUCUUCCUCCAAAUGUAUUUUUAUGCUAAAGUCAUGUCCUUUUGAAAUUAAUUUUAGGACUUCUCUUAAAUGUGUUGUAAGUAUUUGUUCUUUUUCUACCCUAUUUUCUUUGUGAAAAAGUAUUUAAAAAUCUGCAUUGAGGUUUCAAAUGGUCUGAGAGAAGAUGUUUACAGAGUAAUAAUGCCAUUUGUAUUUGUUAUAUAUCUGAAAAUGGAAUUUCUAAUCAGACAAUAUUAAAAUAUAUUUGU